rnacentral:rRNA from 1 species
UACAGAGGGUGCAAGCGUUGUUCGGAAUUAUUGGGCGUAAAGCGCGUGUAGGCGGCUUGGCAAGUCGGGUGUGAAAGCCCUCAGCUCAACUGAGGAAGUGCGCCCGAAACUGCUGAGCUCGAGUGCCGGAGAGGGUGGCGGAAUUCCCCAAGUAGAGGUGAAAUUCGUAGAGAUGGGGAGGAACACCGGUGGCGAAGGCGGCCACCUGGACGGUUACUGACGCUGAGACGCGAAAGCGUGGGAGCAAACAGG